UCAGUGCCAGUCAGGGCACACAUAAGAAUCAAUCGAUGAAUGCAUAAAUAAGUGGAACAACAAAUCAAUAUUUCUCUUUCUUUUUUUUCUCCCUCUCUCUUUCUA